GUGUUUGCAUCGGCAGCACAUAUACUAAAAUUGGAAUGAUACAGAGAAGAUCAGCAUGGCCCCUGCGCAAGGAUGACAUGCAAAUUUGCGAAGCAUUCCUUAUUUUU